UCCAAGAAAAGAAGACCAUGAACCAAAAAUUUGGAGCAGUGAAACAGCCCACGGGGACUCCAUCUCUCGCCUGGUCGUGCGUCAUCGUCAUUGCAUCACUCCUCGCCGGCGCCUCAGUCGUCCACAACAUCUACAGUCCCGAUCUCACACUACCACUGGUUGAAAAUGUGGAUGAGGCUAAGAAGAAACAAGCUGAUAGCAAUAAAGAAUGAGUCUUUGCAAAGCCCUUGUAUCAAAUGUCAUUGAUUUUUCCUCCAAAAUGCUUGUUAGAGCUUCUAAUUUUUCUAGAAUGUUUGAUUUUGGAUUAAUGCAUGAAUUGUUUUUUUAAUGGAUAUUAAUUUUAUGAUUCUGAAUAUU